CUCACAACUAACUGACACUGAACAUCAGUUCCAACAGUUCACGUCUGUCAACAUGGAAAAACUGGCUGUGAUUCUGGUCUGUUCAGCUCUCGUAGGUCACAGCUUGGAAGAUGAUAUUACUGCCAUCAGAGCUGAAGUGUUUUCAUCAGAGGGCAGUAGUGUUACUCUGUCCUGUAACUAUUCCGUCAAAGCUGAUAAUCUCCAGUGGUAUCGACAGGAUCCUGGAUCAGCUCCUCAGUUCCUUCUAUUGAUCACUGAUACAAAAGAUCCCAACGUGGUGACAGCAACACUUCCACACCCUGGACUGACUGCUAAACUGAACCAGGAGAGAAAUGGAGUCGACCUGGAGAUCUCCUCUGCUGCAGUGACAGACUCUGCUGUGUACUACUGUGCUCUGAGG